GAUCGUGGUGAUGACUCCAUAAUAUUCAAGCUCAACAGACCGGAAUGCAGGCUUCUCUUUUCAGAGGACUUUGCGUGUCGAUAAUCCCGCUGAACUGAGCGAUC